rnacentral:rRNA from 2 species
GUGGUAAUUCUAGAGCUAAUACAUGCUAAAAACCUCGACUUCGGAAGGGGUGUAUUUAUUAGAUAAAAAACCAAUGCCCUUCGGGGCUCCUUGGUGAUUCAUAAUAACUUAACGAAUCGCAUGGCCUUGCGCCGGCGAUGGUUCAUUCAAAUUUCUGCCCUAUCAACUUUCGAUGGUAAGGUUUUGGCUUACCAUGGUCUUAACGGGUAACGGGGAAUUAGGGUUCGAUUCCGGAGAGGGAGCCUGAGAAACGGCUACCACAUCCAAGGAAGGCAGCAGGCGCGCAAAUUACCCAAUCCCGACACGGGGAGGUAGUGACAAUAAAUACUGAUACAGGGCUCUUUUGGGUCUUGUAAUUGGAAUGAGAACAAUUUAAAUCCCUUAACGAGGAACAAUUGGAGGGCAAGUCUGGUGCCAGCAGCCGCGGUAAUUCCAGCUCCAAUAGCGUAUAUUAAAGUUGUUGCAGUUAAAAAGCUCGUAGUUGAACUUUGGGUCUGGCUGAUCUGUCCUCCUAAUCGAGCGCACGGAUUCGGUCGGACCUUUCCUUCUGGGGAACCCUAUGCCCUUCACUGGGCGUAGCGGGGAACCAGGACUUUUACCUUGAAAAAAUUAGAGUGUUCAAAGCAGGCCUUUGCUCGAAUACAUUAGCAUGGAAUAAUAGAAUAGGA